rnacentral:rRNA from 1 species
CGAAAGCUAGGGGAGCAAACAGGAUUAGAUACCCUGGUAGUCCUAGCCCUAAACGAUGAUUGCUUGGUGUAGCAGGUACCCAAUCCUGCUGUGCCGCAGCUAACGCGAUAAGCAAUCUGCCUGGGGAGUACGGUCGCAAGGUUGAAACUCAAAGGAAUUGACGGGGGCCCGCACAAGCGGUGGAGCAUGUGGUUCAAUUCGACGCAACGCGAAGAACCUUACCUGGGCUCGAAGCGCAGUGGACCGGGGUAGAAAUAUCCCUUCCCCUUAAAAGGCUGCUGCGGAAGUGCUGCAUGGCUGUCGUCAGCUCGUGUCGUGAGAUGUUGGGUUAAGUCCCGCAACGAGCGCAACCCUUAUCCCUAGUUGCCAUCGGGUCAAGCCGGGCACUCUAGUGAAGCUGCCUGGGAUAACCAGGAGGAAGGUGGGGAUGACGUCAAGUCCUCAUGGCCUUUAUGUCCAGGGCUACACACGUGCUACAAUGGUCGGUACAAACCGUCGCAAACCCGUGAGGGGGAGCUAAUCGGAAAAAGCCGGCCUCAGUUCGGAUUGGAGUCUGCAACUCGACUCCAUGAAGCUGGAAUCGCUAGUAAUCGCGGAUCAGAACGCCGCGGUGAAUACGUUCCCGGGCCUUGUACACACCGCCCGUCACAUCACGAAAGCGGGCCGUACUAGAAGCAGGUGUGCUAACCGCAAGGAGGCAGCCUUCCAAGGUACAGCUCAUGAUUGGGGUGAAGUCGUAACAAGGUAGCCGUA